UACUCAGUUCGGAUUGCAGGCUGCAACUCGCCUGUAUGAAGUCGGAAUUGCUAGUAAUCGCGGAUCAGCAUGCCGCGGUGAAUACGUUCCCGGGCCUUGUACACACCGCCCGUCACACCAUGAGAGCCGGGAACACCCGAAGUCCGUAGUCUAACCGCAAGGAGGACGCGGCCGAAGGUGGGUUUGGUAAUUGGGGUGAAGUCGUAACAAGGUAAC
rnacentral:rRNA from 1 species